CAUCAACAUUCAUAUUUGCUGAGCAAGGAAUAAAUUCAAAGGAGAUACUAUCAAACAUUUUUUCCAGAGCUUUUAUAUCGAAGAGAAUUCCUCUCCUUCCUGCUGUUGUUGCUUUCGAUUUUAGCAAUUAGAUCUUUACAGUCAAUUUAGAGGUGUAGAUCUAAAAAAUUCUUGUUUAGUGCUUGUCGUAGUGCAUAUCGAACAGAUAAGGCUUCCGAGAUUAGAGAUGAAUAAACGUGUUCUUCCGAUCUGUCCCCUCGAUCCAGCUUCGUGAUGUACUCCUUCAUGAAGAUCCAUCCUAAUCCAGCGAGGUGGGUUUGUUUGAUCCAUGCCGCAUCGGAUUGGCAUAUGACUUUUGAAGGGUGGGGUCGAGAUCGUGGUGGUGGUUUGCCUCUGGUCGUGGGAGGAGAUCCUGAGGAGCUUGUACUAGUUGCCAGUCACGGGCGUUUGGAGAUGGCCUUGGUGAUGAUUUCCUCGGUGUAAUAGUGCGAUUCUCAAAUACAAUGUGGUUCCUUGCUUCCCACAGUGCCCAACAAAUCCAAGGGAAGAGUGAGCUUGUAGUGAGACCCACUAGGGGUAGCGUCAUCCAUGAGGUGGAUUCUCAAAGACCAAUAGCGAAUUCGGUGAUGAAGGAAGAAUCGAUCAUGUGGAUGAAAGGGGCCAGAGUCCAAACUCUUUUCGUAAAAUUUCAAUGGAGGAAAAGGUCUUCGGAGGUUUUCGUAGCUCUGCAACGAUGACAAAGAGCCACGAGAGUUAAACCUCUAGCUAGGAGAUUUGAUCCCGUAGGAAGAGCUUUCUUGAGAACUUUCCAUAAAAAGACUUGGAGCUUUGAUGAGGAUUUACCAUUCCACACUUCGGUGUUCCAGUUGACUCUUGAUACCAUACUUAAGGGGAAGCCAAACGAGGGAGUCUUCUGCACCACAGAGGCUUGGUUUGGUGCUCAGGAUGUGUUCCUCAUACACAGCAGAUUUCUUCCUAUCAUUAUGCUACGCCAACCAUGAGAACCUGUUAGAGGGGGGGG